CAGUAGCCACGGGAAUACAGAGGGUGCGAGCGUUAAUCGGAUUUACUGGGCGUAAAGCGUGCGUAGGCGGCUUUUUAAGUCGGAUGUGAAAUCCCUGAGCUUAACUUAGGAAUUGCAUUCGAUACUGGGAAGCUAGAGUAUGGGAGAGGAUGGUAGAAUUCCAGGUGUAGCGGUGAAAUGCGUAGAGAUCUGGAGGAAUACCGAUGGCGAAGGCAGCCAUCUGGCCUAAUACUGACGCUGAGGUACGAAAGCAUGGGGAGCAAACAGGAUUAGAGACCCCAGUAGUCCCUGUCUCUUAUAC
rnacentral:rRNA from 1 species